UUUUCUCUUAUUUUCUUUUUAAACUUAUUUUUGCAUUUAAUUUUCAACCAUUUUUAAACACUUUGAGAUCCGAUUAUUCAUAUUUUUCUUGACUUAUCAUAAUUUUCUCAACCAUUUCUUUUAUGUUUUGGUGCUUGAUUUGAAUUUUCUCUUUAUUUUCCAUUAAAAAUUAUUUUAAUUUGCCUUUUAAUUCAUUUUUGUUUGAUUUUUGGUUGACU
rnacentral:lncRNA from 1 species